rnacentral:lncRNA from 1 species
UUAGACGGGUCCCUGGCUGACCUGAUAAAGAAGCUCCCUGUACAAACAUCAAUUAAUGCAGGCAGCACAUCAAAGCAUUGUGGAGACAUGUCUGUGCCUCCCUCCAGACCAUCAAUUCUCAACUCAGGCUGCUCGUUAGACAUACCUGAGGAGCUUUCGAAAGAAACCAGUGCCUAGACCCCAUGCACAGAGAUUUUAAUGUAAUUGGUCCAGAUGAAGCCCCAGCAUAACUAAUCUGUAAAAGCUCCCCAAGUGAUUUGAAUGUGCAGGGUGUUUUGAGAACCCUGCCAUAGACCCAGCACCUUAAGAACCCUGUCUAUGUCCCCUUCAACUAGCACAUAAGGCUCACAGGAAAUCCUCACUGAAUGAAUAAACAAAUAAAUGGAUGGCAGAGAAUUUCUGCUCCAAUUCUGCAGCCCCUAGUGGGCAGUGUGCACUGUCCUAAGUGUGGUUCCUCCUUCCCCCCAGAUCUCCCUCCUUCACCGAGUUUGCACUCAGACUCCCU